CAGUUGUCGUAUUUGGGCAGCGGAUGCAGCACCCCGUCGUCCUGCAGCCCUCUGAGCAGCUCCUUCCCCUCCUCCUCGGACCCAUCGCACAGCAGAACCUCCCUGGGCCUGCACAGCCGGACCGCCUCCUCCACGAAAUCCCGCGCGGCCGCCGGCAGCGCCGACAGCGACGUGCUCAGCCUGCGCCGGGCCAGGCCCACGCCCCACAUCCCGCGCUGCAUUCUGUCCUC
rnacentral:lncRNA from 1 species